UACGUAGGGGGCAAGCGUUGUCCGGAAUCAUUGGGCGUAAAGCGCGUGUAGGCGGCCCGGUAAGUCCGCUGUGAAAGUCGGGGGCUCAACCCUCGAAAGCCGGUGGAUACUGUCGGGCUAGAGUACGGAAGAGGCGAGUGGAAUUCCUGGUGUAGCGGUGAAAUGCGCAGAUAUCAGGAGGAACACCAAUUGCGAAGGCAGCUCGCUGGGACGUUACUGACGCUGAGACGCGAAAGCGUGGGGAGCAAACAGG
rnacentral:rRNA from 1 species